UUAUGUGUAUGUGUAUAUAAACAAAACUCUUUCCCUUUCUUUCAGCUUCUCUUCUGUCAGUUAACGCUCUGAGAGAAUGGGAGGCUUUUCCUCAAAAGCAGCUCCAGUUACACCAGAACCCAUUUACCCUACAGUCACUGUCCCUACAUCUGCCCACACCCCUACAGAUGAUUUCAGAGCUGCAGAAGUCAGAUGCUGGAUUAAUAACCAUGAAAUACUGUACAUGUCACUGGCCUUCAUCUCUGGCAUCCUCCUGACUGUCCUGGUUUUUGCAAUCAUCUUCCUCUUCAGGAAAAGUUCUAAAAGAUCCCACCAAAAUUUACAAGAGGAAACUUUCUCCCAGAUGGCAGCUGAGGAAUCUCUUAGGAACACUCAGGUAAAUGUUACUGAGUAAUGCUUUACACAGAUAUUUCACAUUCUUGAGUGUGGUAAAUAUUAAUUUGGGGUGGUGGGGAGAAAAGUCACCUUUGAGACUCAACUGUUAUUCAUCAGUUAUUUUGAUAACUUCAGGGGUUCUGGUGCUGAACCACUGCUGAGGCAGGUUCGGAGAAAUCUUUUUAAAGGGGAAGCAUUUCUGCAGAUUUCCUCUGUGGUAUGAAUUCUUUGGAAGCCCCUAAAGGAGACUUUACCCAGAGCCCUGAGCCAGACUGGCCAGUGGGAUGAACCAGCAUUUCCAAUGCCCCCAUGCAGGGUCAGGCUAAUUAACCCCAGGUUAAUGGGGUGUGGUGUUGAGGACAGGUUCCAAGUGGGAAAUCUCUGCUGACCUGCAGGGCUCUGCACUCUCUAAUGUCUGUGGCUUCUCUCACAUCCCCAGAAUGAAGUGACCUACAGCACUCUGGUCUUCCAGCAGGGCAGGACACCACUGCCUGUGUGAUGAGGAAGUUCCAAAUGAAAUAGAAAUGAUCCCACUUUCUGGACGUCAGAAGCCCUGAGGAUGUUACACCAAGGGAAUGCCCUGGGAAUGCCCCCAUGCCCUCUGUAACACAGCUCUUUUUGUAGCUAUGGCAGGAAAUUGUCUGCUGUUCAAACUGGCUGCCAACAGCUCUGGGCAAAUGGAGAGUUUCUAUACAGGAUUUCCUCAUCUGUAGAAAUCUCCCUGCCCUUGUAAAGUUUCCGUUUGUGAGAACUACCAGAGAGAAGUGAGAAAUGAAAAUGUUUCUCUGCAUCUAUCCAUAUCUGUGCCCUCGUGUUUCCCUUUUCUGACACCAGCUCUAACUUUUCUGUAUUUUUUUUUUUUUUUUGAUUGCCAAGGGCUUUGCUUAGU
rnacentral:lncRNA from 1 species